CUCUUCGUCAGGAGUUCUCAAUGGCCCCCAAGGUGCCUUUGUUUCCUCAAGGGGUUUUCAUAGCAUCCUCAGCUGUGGAAGGCAAUGUAUCGCAUCCUGUAUUACCUUCCCCUGACCUCAUAGCUUCCCAAAACAGGAACAAUCAUGGGCUUUGAAGUUACAGGAAUGCAGAUGUGAUUCCUAUGGAUGAGGGUAACCUAGAGGCUAGAAGAACAAUAGGACAGAAGAAGCCUGGGUCCCUGAACAACCUUGUGGAGCAUAGACACCUACGUGGCCUGGACUGCCAGCUCACAAUGGGCCUCUCUGUGAGAGAAGGAAACUUCCCUCUUGUUUAAGCAACUGUGCUUUUGAGAAUCUCUUGGUCUAUACCCUAAUGAAUAAGGCCAUCAUAAAUGGAUAUCAAAGUAAGGAAAUUUGUGUAAAUGAUUUAAUAAAACAUUACCUCAGGUAUGAAAUAA
rnacentral:lncRNA from 1 species